rnacentral:rRNA from 1 species
UAGCGAAGGGGGCUAGCGUUGCUCGGAAUCACUGGGCGUAAAGGGCGCGUAGGCGGCCUGAUCAGUCGGGGGUGAAAGCCUGUGGCUCAACCACAGAAUGGCCUUCGAUACUGUCGGGCUUGAGACCGGAAGAGGUAAGUGGAACUGCGAGUGUAGAGGUGAAAUUCGUAGAUAGUUCGCAAGAACACCAGUGGCGAAGGCGGCUUACUGGUCCGGAUCUGACGCUGAGGUGCGAAAGCGUGGGGAGCAAACAGG